rnacentral:rRNA from 1 species
UACGAAGGGGGCUAGCGUUGUUCGGAUUACUGGGCGUAAAGCGCACGUAGGCGGAUUGGUCAGUUAGGGGUGAAAUCCUGGAGCUCAACUCCAGAACUGCCUUUAAUACUGCCAGUCUCGAGUCCGGAAGAGGUAAGUGGAACUCCUAGUGUAGAGGUGGAAUUCGUAGAUAUUAGGAAGAACACCAGUGGCGAAGGCGGCUUACUGGUCCGGUACUGACGCUGAGGUGCGAAAGCGUGGGGAGCAAACAGG